rnacentral:rRNA from 1 species
GAUGAACGCUGGCGGCGUGCUUAAUACAUGCAAGUCGAACGAGAAGUUUUUGUCUUCGGAUGGAAGCUUUCUAGUGGCGAACGGGUGAGUAACGCGUUGGUGACCUGCCCCGAAGUGGGGGAUAACAGUUCGAAAGGACUGCUAAUACCGCAUACAAUCAGUUGGGUUAGAGACCUUCUGAUAAAAGGAGUAAUUCGCUUCGGGAGGGGCCUGCGUCCCAUCAGCUAGUUGGUAGGGUAAAAGCCUACCAAGGCUAUGACGGGUAGGGGACCUGAGAGGGUGGCCCCCCACAAUGGCACUGAAACACGGGCCAUACACCUACGGGUGGCAGCAGUAGGGAAUAUUGGACAAUGGGCGAAAGCCUGAUCCAGCAACGCCGCGUGUGCGAUGACGGCCUUCGGGUUGUAAAGCACUUUUAGAGGAGAUGAGAAAGGACAGUAUCCUCUGAAUAAGCCUCGGCGAACUACGUGCCAGCAGCCGGGUAAACCGUAUGAGCUAGCGUUAUCCCGGAUUCAUUGGGCGUAAAGCGCGUGCAGGC